GACGAACGCUGGCGGCGUGCUUAACACAUGCAAGUCGAGCGAGAAAGGGCCUUCGGGCCUGAGUACAGCGGCGAACGGGUGAGUAACACGUGGGCAACCUGCCUCGGAGACUGGGAUAACGUCCCGAAAGGGACGCUAAUACCGGAUAACGCGUGGCCUGCUAAGUGGGUCACGCCAAAUGGUAGCUUCGGCUUCUGCUCUGGGAUGGGCCCGCGCCGGAUUAGCUUGUUGGUGAGGUAACGGCUCACCAAGGCGACGAUCCGUAGCUGGUCUGAGAGGACGAUCAGCCACACUGGGACUGAGACACGGCCCAGACUCCUACGGGUGGCUG
rnacentral:rRNA from 1 species